GACAAAGUUACAAACAUCCUGGGGACCGAGGUUGGUGCUCACCAAAUGAGGACGAGGGGUCCCGAAGUGGAAGAGCUGGACGCCAAGAGCAAGGACCUGCUGAUCCAGCAGGCUGCCCAGUGCCUUAGCAGCCCUAUAGCCACAAAUACACCCCCAUAGACGCCCAUAAUAACCCUUAGCUCUCCCCAAAGACCCCCAUAAUGACCCCCAGCCCCUCUUUUUCCUCCUAAAUCCCCUAUUUUGGGGCAUUUUGGGUCAUCUUGGGGGUCCUGGACACUAAGAGCAGGGAGCUGCUGAUCCAGUGCCUUAGCAGCCCUAUAGCCACAAAUACACCCCCAUUAGACCCC